GUGGAGUUUUCUCUCUCCCAGUCCUGGAACAGGGUCACACCCUGAGGAGAAGCAUCAGAGAAUGGGACUGAGUCAU
rnacentral:pre_miRNA from 8 species